UAACGUACAGUCCACCGUGAUGGGGACCCUGCCUGUAAGAGGAGAUGUACACAGCCUCACGGGGCCGAAGCCAACUCACAGUGAGGUGACGGACACGGUGCCAUCCAGCUAACCUUUGGGAGCAGAUGAGCAUUGGAGGUAUCCCAGAAGAUGACAGCACAUUGUCCAAGUCUAGUCAGAGCCAGUGACACGAGGACCUGCCUCGGUGAUGGUG